AUGGCCAUGGCCGUGCUGGUCAUGCUGCUGGCCACGGGGCCAGCGCCUGCUAGCGCCAUGAACUUCGCGGAGGCGGACCUGGCGUCGGAGGAGUCCCUCUGGGCGCUGUACGAGCGUUGGCGCGCGUAGCACACGGUGGCGCGCGACCUCGGCGAGAAGGCCCGUCGCUUCAACGUGUUCAGGGAGAACGUGCGGCUCAUCCACCAGUUCAACCGCGGCGACGCGCCCUACAAACUCCGCCUCAACCGCUUCGGCGACAUGACCACCGACGAGUUCCGCCGCGCCUACGCCUCUUCCCGCAUCGCGCACCACCGCAUGUUCCACCCUAAGGCAGGUGGUGGGGGUUUCAUGCACGGCGACAGGAUUUCCGCCCCGUCGUCGGUCGACUGGCGGCAGAAGGGCGCGGUGACCGCCGUCAAGGACCAGGGGCAGUGCGGCAGCUCCUGGGCCUUCUCGACGAUCGCAGCGGUGGAGGGCAUCAACGCGAUCCGGACCAAGAACCUGACGUCGCUCUCGGAGCAGGAGCUGGUGGACUGCGACACCGCCGACGGCAACUCCGGCUGCAACGGCGGUAUCAUGGACAAGGCAUUCCAGUACAUCGCCGAUAAUGGCGGGGUCGCCACCGAGGACGCCUACCCCUACACGGCCCAGCAGCAGGCCUCCACCUGCAACACCGGGGCGCCCCGCGUUGUCACCAUCGACGGGUACGAGGACGUGCCGGCCAACAACGAGAAGGCGCUGAAGAAGGCUGUGGCUGCACAGCCGGUGUCCGUGGCCGUCGACGCAGGCGGGUUCCAGUUUUAUUCGGAGGGGGUGUUCACCGGGGAGUGCGGGACCGAGCUGGACCAUGGCGUUGCGGUGGUGGGGUACGGCAUCACCGUAGAUGGCACCAAGUACUGGAUCGUGAAGAACUCGUGGGGCGAGGAGUGGGGCGAGAAUGGGUACAUCCGCAUGGAGCGCGACGUCAAGGAUAAGAAGGGCCUUUGCGGGAUCGCCAUGGACGCUUCCUACCCGAUCAAGACCUCGCCCAACGCCCCAACCCCGAGUCUGUCCAUGACGAGCUCUGAUUAA
rnacentral:rRNA from 1 species